rnacentral:lncRNA from 1 species
GGAUGUCCAUAAAUAGUACUCCGUUUCCAAAAUUAAUUACUUUCCAAAACUAUAUUUACUUAUAGGAUGGAAUGAAGUAAAAUGAAAUUGAUUCCUUGCCGUUAGCUUAAAUCAUAUAUCAACUUAUUCAAUUCGCACGUCAAACGCACAUGUCAAGUCAUUUGUGAAGAAGACAGAUAAGUAGCACAUACAACAAUAUAAAUGUAUUCUACUUA